GUCCCUUUGGCGCAGUGGAAAGCGCGCCGGACUCCUAAUCCGGAGGUCGCGGGUUCGACCCCCGCAAGGGAUU